CAAGUGUCCAAAGUGUGUGGAACACAAAAAUAUGCUUCCCCCUUCCUCACCCGGUACCCUUUACCUUUAGCAAAUUUCGUGGCAGAAACACACUGCAAAAUAAUACUGAGGAAUACCAGCACCUAAUCUUCAUACAGUUCAAAUGGGCAGGUCCCUGGUUUUCUCCACAAACGUUCCUCUCAGAAUUUCUCAAAUACCCAGAUCAAUUUUACCUCCCAAUCGACCAAGUUACUCACUUUUUCUGAAUCCAAAGCAAAAAUUGCAACAUGGGUUUCAAAGAUUUGGACUUUCGAUUGCCAAACCGACGAGAAGUCUCUGCACAAAGGCCGUGUUGUCUGGAAUUCCAAACCACGAGCUGUAUGUGAAAGUUGGCGCCAAAUCAACCGGACCAAUUCCAAUUGGUCAGCUCGUUGGAGUGGUUGAGAAGGCCGCUAAGACUGGCGCUGAGGUUGUGAUGAAUGCUGUUAAUAAGCCUCGGAAUAUCACCUAUAAAGGAGUAGCGGACUUGGUCACUGACACAGAUAAAAAGAGUGAAGCCACAAUUUUAGAAGUUGUGAGAAAGAACUUUGAAGAUCACCUUAUUCUUGGAGAGGAGGGUGGAAUAACUGGAGAUGCAUCAUCUGAUUAUAUGUGGUGCAUUGAUCCUUUAGAUGGAACAACAAAUUUCGCACAUGGUUAUCCUAGCUUUGCAGUUUCUGUUGGAGUUUUAUUUCGAGGAAAACCUGUUGCUGCUGCCGUGGUAGAGUUCGUUGGGGGCCCUAUGUGUUGGAAUACCCGCAUUUUUUCUGCUAGUGCUGGAGGGGGAGCAUUUUGUAAUGGCCAAAAAAUUCACGUGAGCCAAACUGAUGAGGUGGGACGAUCUCUUCUUGUUACUGGAUUUGGUUAUGAACAUGAUGACGUAUGGAUCACCAACAUAGAGUUAUUUAAAGAGUUCACCGACGUCAGCAGGGGUGUUAGAAGGCUCGGUGCAGCUUCAGUAGACAUGUGCCAUGUAGCUCUUGGGAUUGUAGAAGCUUACUGGGAAUAUCGACUAAAGCCGUGGGAUAUGGCAGCUGGUGUUUUGAUAGUUGAAGAGGCUGGAGGAAAGGUUACGUGCAUGGAUGGCGGAAAAUUUUCUGUAUUUGAUAGAUCUGUCUUGGUAUCCAAUGGUGUGCUGCAUGGCAAGCUUUUAGAGAGGAUUGCACCUGCAACAGAGAAGUUGAAGAGCAAAGAAAUCGAUUUCUCUUUGUGGUACAAGCCCGAAGAUUACACAACAGACAUUUGAUGCACCUCUCAGUUCUUUUUUCUUUGUUUUUGCCAAUCGUGCCGAGAACAUAUCUUCCACAGGAUGGUGGUCUCUCAUUGUUGCAUUGGUGACGUUCGCUAUCAACCUUACGAGUGUGCUUGUCACCAGCAGGGGUUUCGAGAGUGAUUUCGACUGGUUCUUCCCAUCCAUAUUCUUUAGCAUUCAGCUUGACCACAAACACAACUUCAUAGAGAGUUCCGGGUGACAGGUAUGCGGUUUCAAACUUCCCGUGCACUUCUAGCCAACAUGCAUCUAACAGUUCAGCAGCAUCAAUGCGGUCAUCACUGCAUUUAAACCCUAAGUUAGGACCGAUUACUAUAUAGCAGUUAUCAAUAACCAAUUGUGAUAUACGGAUUGAAGUUUUUGAUACCCGUCUUCUACGGUGUUCCAGCGCCAGUAACGACCAUCUCCGCCCCAAGUGAUCAAGAGAUCUCUUGCAUACACCGUAAAACAGUUGUUGGAAUUCUUAUCAACCCAAUAUUUCUGCAAUAACAGUUUGUUCAUAUUUUCAAGUUGUACUAAGAAUUGAUCUUUUGCUAUAUUUAAGGCAAUGAUUUCCGCA